rnacentral:rRNA from 1 species
GACGAACGCUGGCGGCGUGCUUAACACAUGCAAGUCGAACGGUAAGGCCCUUCGGGUACACGAGUGGCGAACGGGUGAGUAACACGUGGGUGAUCUGCCCUGCACUUCGGGAUAAGCCUGGGAAACUGGGUCUAAUACCGGAUAGGACUCCUGGCUUCAUGGUUGGGGUGUACAGCUUUUGCGGUGUGGGAUGGGCCCGCGGCCUAUCAGCUUGUUGGUGGGGUAAUGGCCUACCAAGGCGACGACGGGGUAGCCGGCCUGAGAGGGUGACCGGCCACACUGGGACUGAGAUACGGUCCAGACUCCUACGGGAGGCAGCAGUGGGGAAUAUUGCACAAUGGGCGCAAGCCUGAUGCAGCGACGCCCGCGUGAGGGAUGACGGCCUUCGGUUGUAACCGUCUUCUAAUAGGACGAAGCGCAAGUGACGGUACCUAUAGAAGAAGGACGCC